rnacentral:rRNA from 9 species
UAUGCUUCUUCGGGAGCAGAGACCGGCGCACGGGUGCGUAACGCGUAUGCAAUCUACCUUUCACAGAGGGAUAGCCCAGAGAAAUUUGGAUUAAUACCUCAUAGUAUAGCAGUUUCGCAUGAAACCACUAUUAAAGUCACAACGGUGAAAGAUGAGCAUGCGUCCCAUUAGCUAGUUGGUAAGGUAACGGCUUACCAAGGCAACGAUGGGUAGGGGUCCUGAGAGGGAGAUCCCCCACACUGGUACUGAGACACGGACCAGACUCCUACGGGAGGCAGCAGUGAGGAAUAUUGGACAAUGGGCGCAAGCCUGAUCCAGCCAUGCCGCGUGCAGGAUGACGGUCCUAUGGAUUGUAAACUGCUUUUAUACGAGAAGAAACCCUCCGACGUGUCGGAGCUUGACGGUAUCGUAAGAAUAAGGAUCGGCUAACUCCGUGCCAGCAGCCGCGGUAAUACGGAGGAUCCAAGCGUUAUCCGGAAUCAUUGGGUUUAAAGGGUCCGUAGGCGGUCAGGUAAGUCAGUGGUGAAAGCCCAUCGCUCAACGGUGGAACGGCCAUUGAUACUGUCUGACUUGAAUUAUUAGGAAGUAACUAGAAUAUGUAGUGUAGCGGUGAAAUGCUUAGAGAUUACAUGGAAUACCAAUUGCGAAGGCAGGUUACUACUAAUGGAUUGACGCUGAUGGACG